rnacentral:rRNA from 1 species
UACAGAGGUCUCAAGCGUUGUUCGGAUUCAUUGGGCGUAAAGGGUGCGUAGGCGGCGCGGUAAGUCGGGUGUGAAAUCUCGGAGCUUAACUCCGAAACUGCAUUCGAUACUGCCGUGCUUGAGGACUGGAGAGGAGACUGGAUUUACGGUGUAGCGGUGAAAUGCGUAGAUAUCGUAAGGAAGACCAGUGGCGAAGGCGGGUCUCUGGACAGUUCCUGACGCUGAGGCACGAAGGUCAGGGGAGCAAACGGG